ensembl:lncRNA
ACUGGGAUGGUGCCUAUCCUCGAAAGCAGUAGGCAGUUAGAGGCUGAACUGAAGUGCCUGGGCUGUGAAAGGGUCAUAAAGGUAGCACAGGUGGGACAGCUCUGUUCCUUGGUCCCCUUUGGUUCCCGAUUCCCCUUGCUUGGUCUGACACGGUACAGUGCUGUCAGUGCUCAGGGUUCACAGAGCAUUAAGGCUUUUGCAGGACCUCCCACAGAUGGAAGACUUCUGCUCACAGCUAACUCGGAGAAGAGCAGGCACCUCUGUUGUGCUAGGUUUGCCCCUUUCUGCACCCAGGGCACAAGCCAUGAUUGUCUCAUUAAGGUGCAGGGUCCAUCCCAACUAGCCCUAGAUUUUGAGAUUUUUGUUUUCACAUUCCCCUGCUCCACAUCUUCUGCCCUGACUUCCUUACACCUACACCAAAAGCCCAGCAGAACUGGGUGCAGCGCGGGAGCCUGGCUCCAAAUGCUCACAUCCAGUAGGAUGCGCAGCUGCAAGUCUUCCUUUGCCAGAUGUUUUUUGGAGCUGUGGGAGCCAGGGAAGUUCACUGCAGGUGUUCCCCAGCACAGAGGCAGCCUCCUCCGAGGUGAUUAGCAUCUGCAAGGCACCGGCAGGGACAGUGCAGGUGGGAGGAAAAGAAAAGCUCACGCCAGUCCCAUUUGCCCCACAGUGGGCGGCCUCUUGCUCAGUUGUGCAAAUUGCCCAUGCAUUCUGGGGCCCUAAGCUCAAACUGCUCCCCAAAAAGCCCAGCAACUACUAACCCUCCUCUGCCCUUCGCUGGGUGGGUGGCAGAGCCAUAAGGAGCAGGCAGAGGGACAGGACAACGCCUGUCAGCCGUGCCAUGUGGCAGCUUCCCAUCUGCUGCCUGUGCUCAUGCUAAUGGCAAGCACCUGGGCUCAAGACCAGCUGAGAUAGUGGGAGGUGAAAAAGGGCUCUGAGUUUGGCCCUGGUACCUUCAGUCAGCGAGCAGAGGAAAGCUGUGGGUGAGGUAGCAUCUAGCCUUUCUGUGUGAACAAAAAGGGCUGGAGAUCAGUGGGAGUAAUACUGAGAUGUGCCAGCUGCAUACAGUAUGGUCUUCUGCCCCACUUAAGGGGGAGCUGAGCCAGGUAAAGCCCUUUCUUGGUUGGGGCUUUCUUGGUUAUCCCUCCAUGUGAAGUGCCAUCUGUCUCUCACUCAAUUAUCUGUGCCUUCCUUUCCUUAUAGGUAGUGGGAAGUUUAAAACCAUCAUGUGAGUGCGAAGGAGAGCUUGCAUUUUGGCCUGAGAGCUCCAGUAGCAGCCCUGCUUUGUAAGAGUGCCUGAGGUCCUUUCAUAAAGAGGAUGAGAGAAGUGAGUGGGGCGGAGGGAGUUUCCUCUGGAAAGGGGAAUCCAGAAUGAGAAACACAUUCAGCCACUGCGAACAGCAAAAACACAUACGCUUUGACUGCAGGAGCCAGACCAUGCGUGCCUCACAUGUGCAGCUGCCCAGAUUUAUGGCCUGUUAUCCUCCUGGCAAUUACUGGAUUGUACCGUGGGGAUCUGCAUGGGCGAUGUGCAGGUUGCCCACACAGCCUGGCCUUCUGAGAAAUGACACGGCGUGCGCCAUGUGCUGCGGCCAGCAGCAGCUGUGCUGGAAAACCACUGCGGAGGAAAUCACAAGUUAGUGAGUCACCGAGACCACUGCCAGCCUGUCAGGAGACUCUCCAUAACUCAGCUUUCAUGUGCUUGUGCUUCUGCUCUAAAGCAGGCUCAGAUGCCACCUUGAACAGCAGAACAGGCGCUAGCAGGUGGGAAGAAGGACCUGGUUUUCAUUCUCCGAUCCCAAGCUUAGGUUUCCAUGGAAGUGCUGGGAGUUCUCUGCAGGAUCUGUCUCGUUCCCUGGGCCAUGAGACGAAAGGCUCUUCAGAUCUCUGAGAACAGGCACUUUCAAGCUGUUUUCCCAUGCCUGUUGAUCCAGUCUGUGCACAGACCCGUCCCUGCUGCUCCACCAGCCCACAGCUUUGAUGUCGGCAGCCCGGCGUGCUCACCUCCGAAGCAUUUCCCAGCACAUGUCUGGCUGUUUAUACCUUCGAGGCACGCAGCCGCUCUCUUCUGUUUAAGGACCGUCUUGACCACAUCAGUAGAGUAAGAAUCGCUAAAAAUAGACGAGCUGGCAAACUUCACAAUAUGGAAAAUGACACGCUUUUGAAAUCUCUGGAAAAGGAUGGAUUCCUUAAAGGAUAGUUUACAAAUACUGAUUUCAUUAUUUAUGGUAGCCGUAAAACACAGUGCAUGCGGAAAGCAUCGUCCCAUUGAAGCCGGGUGUUACUCAUUACAGCGGUGUUCGCGUUCCAGCGGGUUCCUCUUUUCUCCCUUUGCCCUGCCAACGUGUUGUCCCUCACCCUCCCCAAUUUCUUCAUUCCUGAAGCCUCCGGUAGCCAAGGGAACGUGCUCCUUUCUGUGCCAGCUGUCCUGGUCUUAUUGUUUCUUCUAAAAGAUUUAUUGCAUCGUUGCUCCCUGCUCCUCUCACUCUUUCCACCGGAGUAUUUGUGGACGCGGGUCCUGCACCUGUUCCCCAGUCCUCUUCUCCUCCCUGUCCUGCCCUUCCGUGGGGCUCUCCUGCAGGAACGCCGUGGGUUUGUGUUACACCCCUAGACCAUACCUUGGGAACACUGAAGCCAUGCCCUGCAGUCUUGGCACAGCAAAAGCAAGAGGUUUCUCAGGAAUGUUCUUUAGGACUCUGGGAUCCGCUUCAACUGUUACAGACAUGUAUAGAUGUAGGGCUGUAUGUACCCGGACAGAAUGUCUCACACCUCACCGCGACAGCAAGCAAGCUCUGCUCCAUUCAAGGCAGACCUCUCUGCGGACAGGGCUGCUGCCCGUGUCUCCUGUGACAUUUGCUCCGUUCCAGCUGCCCUGGGGUCAACCCCCUGGGGUUAAGCAGAGCUCCUGGUGCAGGGUUAAUGCUGUGCUCACGCGCUCCCCGAUGUAUUUAUAACUUUUACAUCCCUCUGACAUUUUAUGGCCAGACAGCAUUACAAGGGACAAGUGCUUUCCAUUACGCACUGGGAUGAGCUCCCGCUCGCGCCUCGCAGCUCCUAUGACAUAAUGCACGGCCCAGUGGGGCACAGCCUGGGAUGCCCCAGCAUCAGUAUGGUGUGCAGCCAGCCAGCCCCACUGCUCAUCCUUGGCCCUGUUGUGAGAAACGCAACCUGGAUUAAAAUGUCCAUGGAGGGGAAGGUGCACGUGGCCCUGUGGCUGCCCUGGCUUCAGUUUCAGCCCCAGGCUGCCCCUGGCUCAGCUGACCCAGAGACAGCAAAGACUUUGCUCCAUCUGGGAAUGGGGAAAGUGUGACCAAGGG